CUGGAGCUAAUACCGGAUACGCCCUUAUGGGGAAAGGUUUAUCUGCCGAAGGAUCGGCCCGCGUCUGAUUAGCUUGUUGGUGGGGUAACGGCCUACCAAGGCGACGAUCAGUAGCUGGUCUGAGAGGAUGAUCAGCCACAUUGGGACUGAGACACGGCCCAAACUCCUACGGGAGGCAGCAGUGGGGAAUAUUGGACAAUGGGCGCAAGCCUGAUCCAGCCAUGCCGCGUGAGUGAUGAAGGCCUUAGGGUUGUAAAGCUCUUUUGUCCGGGACGAUAAUGACGGUACCGGAAGAAUAAGCCCCGGCUAACUUCGUGCCAGCAGCCGCGGUAAUACGAAGGGGGCUAGCGUUGCUCGGAAUCACUGGGCGUAAAGGGCGCGUAGGCGGUCUUUUAAGUCGGGGGUGAAAGCCUGUGGCUCAACCACAGAAUUGCCUUCGAUACUGGGAGACUUGAGUGUGGUAGAGGUUGGUGGAACUGCGAGUGUAGAGGUGAAAUUCGUAGAUAUUCGCAAGAACACCGGUGGCGAAGGCGGCCAACUGGACCAUUACUGACGCUGAGGCGCGAAAGCGUGGGGAGCAAACAGGAUUAGAUACCCUGGUAGUCCACGCCGG
rnacentral:rRNA from 1 species